GCUUACGGCCAUACCACCUUAGGCACGCCCGAUCUCGUCUGAUCUCGGAAGCUAAGCAGGGUCGGGCUGGUUAGUACUUGGAUGGGUGACCGCCUGGGAAUACCAGGUGCUGUAAGCA
ensembl:rRNA 5S_rRNA 5S ribosomal RNA